UUUCCUACGGGGGGCAGCAGUGAGGAAUAUUGGUCAAUGGGCGCGAGCCUGAACCAGCCAAGUAGCGUGAAGGAUGACUGCCCUACGGGUUGUAAACUUCUUUUAUAUGGGAAUAAAGUGAGGAACGUGUUCCUUUUUGUAUGUACCAUAUGAAUAAGCAUCGGCUAACUCCGUGCCAGCAGCCGCGGUAAUACGGAGGAUGCGAGCGUUAUCCGGAUUUAUUGGGUUUAAAGGGUGCGUAGGUGGUUAAUUAAGUCAGCGGUGAAAGUUUGUGGCUCAACCAUAAAAUGUCCGUUGACACUGGU
rnacentral:rRNA from 1 species